GGACGCUCAGUGGCCCAUUCAGAAUACAAUUGUGAUACUCCUGGACAGGACAUGAAAAAGGCACCAGAGCAGCUACGUGUGCAGUAAUGACAUCUCAAAGGCCAACAGCACUGGCUGGAGAAUAAAGGCGUUUUAAAGGUCUAAGAACACUGGAUUGGAGAGCCAAGGAGAACCCUUGAUG